ensembl:lncRNA
GAGAGAGAUGCCAACGGGCGAGAGAGAGAUGCCAACGGGCGAGAGAGAUCGGGCGAGAGAGAUGCCAGCGGGCGAGAGAGAGAUGCCAGCGGGCGAGAGAGAGAUGGUAUGCAGGACAUCAAGAGAGUACAUGCCUGUCAAUGGAAAUUAAAGAUACACAGUUAAGUAAAAAGCUAAUUAAGGCUUUUAUACGAUAGAAAUGUUAAUAAAAUGAGCAAUAUGUCAAUUAUAAGGUCAUACACUGGUCAAGCAGCAUCUGUAGCAACGCAGAGGUCAUGUUGUUUAUUUGACAGGGAGUCUGGUUCCCAUGGUGUCAGGUUCACCAGGAGGUCAAGUGUGACAUUAUAUACAUGGCUUCCCUGCACUCACCCUGUCAGUCACAGGCAAGCAUGGGGGAAGCCAACAUCUAAAGGACUAUACGUGUGUUUAAUCUACAUGACAUCAUCUAAAGGACUAUACGUGUGUUUAAUCUACAUGACAUCAUCUAAAGGACUAUACGUGUGUUUAAUCUGCAUGACAUCAUCUAAAGGACUAUACGUGUGUUUAAUCUACAUGACAUCAUCUAAAGGACUAUACGUGUGUUUAAUCUACAUGACAUCAUCUAAAGGACUAUACGUGUGUUU